rnacentral:rRNA from 1 species
CAUGCCGUAAACGAUGUCUACUAGCCGUUGGGGUCUUUGAGACCUUAGUGGCGCAGCUAACGCGAUAAGUAGACCGCCUGGGGAGUACGGUCGCAAGACUAAAACUCAAAUGAAUUGACGGGGGCCCGCACAAGCGGUGGAGCAUGUGGUUUAAUUCGAUGCAACGCGAAGAACCUUACCUGGCCUUGACAUAGUAGAAACUUUUCAGAGAUGGAUUGGUGCCUUCGGGAAUCUACAUACAGGUGC